rnacentral:rRNA from 1 species
AGCAGCCGCGGUAAUUCCAGCUCCAAUAGCGUAUAUUAAAGUUGUUGCAGUUAAAAAGCUCGUAGUUGAAUUUCGGGAUUGGCGCAUCGGUCGUGCCUUACGGGGUAUGAACUGGUGCAGUCAAUUUCUCACCUUCUGGAGAACCGCGAUGUCCUUAAUUGGGUGCCGCGGGGAACCAGGACCUUUACUUUGAAAAAAUUAGAGUGUUUAAAGCAGGCAUUUUUGCUUGAAUACAUUAGCAUGGAAUAAUAAAAUAGGACGGCAUGGUUCUAUUUUGUUGGUUUCUAGGACCACCGUAAUGAUUAAUAGGGAUAGUUGGGGGCAUUAGUAUUCAAUUGUCAGAGGUGAAAUUCUUGGAUUUUAUUGAAGACUAACUACUGCGAAAGCAUUUGCCAAGGAUGUUUUCAUUAAUCAAGAACGAAAGUUAGGGGAUCGAAGACGAUCAGAUACCGUCGUAGUCUUAACCAUAAACUAUGCCGACUAGGAAUCAGACGAUGUUAAUUUUUAAUGUACUCGUUUG